rnacentral:lncRNA from 1 species
GAGUGAUUUUCUGAGGCAGGGGGAUCGCUGUGAGUGAUUUUCUGAGGCAGGAGCAUGAUGCUGAGUGAGUGUCUGAGGCAGAGGGAUGACAGUGAGUGAUUUUCUGACACAGGGGGAUGACUGUGAGUGAUUUUCUGACACAGGGGGAUGAAGCAGAGUAACUGUGGGGCAGGGGGAUGUGGCUGUGUGACUAGGAGGCAGGGGGAUGACUGUGAGUGAGUUUCUGAGGCAGGGGGAUGAAUGUGAGUGUGUUUCUGAGGCAGGGGAAUGAUGUGAGUGAGUGUGUAAGUCAGGGGGAUGACUGUGAGUGAUUUUCUGGGCCACGGGGAUGACUGUGUUUGAGUCUCUGAGGCAGGGGGAUGACUGUGAUUCAUUUU